rnacentral:rRNA from 1 species
GAUGAACGCUGGCGGCGUGCUUAACACAUGCAAGUCGAACGGUGAAGGCGGAGCUUGCUCUGCUGGAUCAGUGGCGAACGGGUGAGUAACAUGUGAGCAAUCUGCCCCUGACUCUGGGAUAAGCGCUGGAAACGGCGUCUAAUACUGGAUACGAGCUGCGAAGGCAUCUUCAGCAGCUGGAAAGAACUUCGGUCAGGGAUGAGCUCGCGGCCUAUCAGCUUGUUGGUGAGGUAACGGCUCACCAAGGCGUCGACGGGUAGCCGGCCUGAGAGGGUGACCGGCCACACUGGGACUGAGACACGGCCCAGACUCCUACGGGAGGCAGCAGUGGGGAAUAUUGCACAAUGGGCGAAAGCCUGAUGCAGCAACGCCGCGUGAGGGACGACGGCCUUCGGGUUGUAAACCUCUUUUAGCAGGGAAGAAGCGAAAGUGACGGUACCUGCAGAAAAAGCGCCGGCUAACUACGUG